rnacentral:lncRNA from 1 species
GGGGCAGGAGACCGGAGGGAGUUGAGGUUUUGCACCCGAUAAGGAGACGCAUAAAGGGAACGGGUGGGGACACAGGGCCCCUGCAGCCUCAGGAGGAUCAGCAGUGGCCUGGUUUACUCGUGUCGUCAUUCGUCGUGGGCACCUUGUCCCCGGGGCCGGCCAGUUACUUGGCCUCCUGGCUCAUCAUCCUGCCGGAAGCAUCUCCAGCUUGGGGAUGUUGGAGGGUCCCUGGCCCCACCUGGCUGGGGAUGGAGUGUAAGCCGAGGAGAUGCCAUGUGAGGGUGCAGCGAGGAGUUGGGCUGUCUAAAAGCAAAGAAAGAGAUUGCAUCAGACACCGCAUCUGCUGACACCUUGUUCUUGGACUUCCAGCUUCCAAAACCGCGAGAAAUAAAUGUCUGUGUCUAAACCCCAACCCUACCACCUCAACUGCCGUGUGUGGUGUUUUGUGAUGGCAGCCCCAGCUGACUGAGACACCUGGUUAGACCGGAAUAAGCAGUACCUGAGUCCCUUAAGAGUGGCCAAAGAAGAAAGAAUCCACUGAGUUGACAUUCCAGUUCAGCUGCAAUCGGUAGCAGUCACCAUUGAACAUCCUUGAAGCAAUUCUUCCAAAAUUACCUUGCAUCAAAGACUGCACAAGAACUGCUCUAAGCGGAAGGACUGAUGUCGGCAACCAGGGUUCCACCAGGGGCUGCAGACAGCCCUUGACCUUCAGGUGGGAAGGUGUCACUGAGUUCAGACCCUCUGGCAAUCCCUAGCUAUCAACAUUUUGAUAAGAAAAUAAGUGGAAAGAAGUAACCAAAUUUACUCACGUAGGCCAGGAAUUUCUAUGACGUGUUCCAAAUUCAGCCUCUCACUGAACACUUCCAGAGCAAGGCAACAUAAACAUCUGCAAGAAGAACAUUGUGUGAGAAAUAUCAAGUGAGAGUGGAAGAGUCUGCGGAGGGCCUCCCUGGGGCUCACCUGUGCUUUUGCCUGAGCUUCACCGUGUCAAGGAUGCAGCACUUUUUCCCUCUGGAGGAAGCAGCUUUCACCUUGGAAGAAUCUUGACCUUGCCAUUCAAAGUCACCAGACAGGGAAUCUGCCAGUGCCUUGAUCUUAGACUUCCCAGCUUCUGUAACUGUGAGCAAUAAAUGUAUGCUGCUUAUAAACUAUCCAGUCUCAUGCAUUUUGUUAUAGCAAUAUAAACAGAUGAAGACAGACAUAAACAUAUCUUUUUGAGAGAUGCAAUGCAACCCAUACCACCAGGAUUGCCACAUGUUUGCUGAUUUCACCUGGUAGCAAGGCUUAGCUAUCUUGGCUUGAAUGUAAUACCUCCAUCUUUUCUCUUGGUCAUCCUCUUUAAGCAGAGGACUUUUAUCUACCCAAGCAGAAUCCUGUGUUCUUGCUAUUCGAAGUGCAGCCCAGCCUCCUGCAGCCACCACAUCACUUGUGAUGCUUGACAGAAAUGCAGACUCUCUGUUCCCACCUCAAACCUACUGACUUGGGAAUCUGCAGCUUACCAAGAUCUCCAGGUGAUCCACGUACACGUCAAACUUUGAAAAGCAGUGGUUUG